UCCCAAAUUCCAUCAUUGAUGGAGAGAACAGCUGGUGAGAGUGAGUCGGUCCUUGGCGAGUGGGUGUAGUACUAGUAGGGAUCCCAUCCCAUUUCAUUUCUGCAAACCAAUAUUCCUCCUCUCCUCGCCAAUCACUCAGUCAAUCAAACAAGGAAGGCCUAAGAGCAACGAUAAUGAAUCAAUCCUGGCUUGGCGCCGCCAUGGGCAUCCAUCCAUCCUUAAGAACGAAGCAAUGAAUGAAUGUUAGUUGCUGGAUUGGAUCCAGGGAGAAUUUCAUUCCAGUGCUUUCUUUAUGUGGACGGAGUAAAGUAUUAAAGAUAGUUCAAAUUCUUCGGAAAAUAUAUCCAGGCCGUGUUUACUUUACUUGUGUUGGUUUUGUUUUGGUGAAUCAGUGUGGAUGAAGUUCAGUUCAUCUAAUAACUAACGUGGGGGGAGGUUGAAACAAAACUAUGGAAUUAAGGCACAUCCAAGCAUUAAAGAUUGUAUAAUUCUCAAAGCAAGGAAAAAGGAUGAAUGAGCCAUGUAGGUUUGCCAUUUGUUGAUAUGAUCGGGAUGACCGUAUUGCACCACCCAGACGGUGCAUGCAGAAUUUGUUAGUAUGUUUUAAAUAUUGACGUCAUUUGUUUUCACAGAUGUAGUUACUGAAUUGAUCAAGAAGGUUGCUUCAAGCCCUUCACAGCCUGCAAAUCUAGUCACCAGCCUCCAUGAUUCUUGAUGCUUCUUCGAGCUGUUCAUGUUCAAAUAAGAACAUUCAAUUGUCUUAGGCAACUUUGUUAACCCAAGUAAGUAGCAAGGUGAACUCAUUUAUGUUUUGACUUUCAUGCUAGCAUCUAAUCCAUUUUGGUUGUUCAUUGUACUUGGCCAGUAAUGUGCUAUCAAUGAGUUAAUUUUGUCCCUUCUUUUUAGCUCUCCUUGCAGAUGGUUAGAUACAAGAAUGGCAGGAAAAGUAAGUGGAUUAGCUUUAGAUUGGAAUAGAUAAUUUUUCUCUGGUUUUCUUGGAUUGAUUCAUAAUUAGGUUUCUUUACUAGUUUGAAUCAAGUUUGCGUAAUACACACUUCCUUAUAUAUCUGUAUCGGUUGUUGUUUUGUGAAUUUUUAUCUUAGCUCUUUGUUUUAAGUUUGCAUUUUGUCUAAAAUUAUUUUCAACUCAAGAAUCCCUAUAUUUUACCUUCAUCAAAUGAUUUUUUCAAUCUCGUUUCCUCUCCCCUGGUUACUCUUUGUUGUAAUAGUUGAAGGUUUUGAGUUAUCCCUUAAAAUUUUCGAGGAUGGUGAAUUGGGUGAUUCCAUAAACCAUUCCUUAGAGUGGACGGAAAUUUAAACCUUAAAUGUUCUUUUUCAAAUCUUCUUUGCCAUUUUUCCUCUCCUCAUGUUACUCUUGUGAUGCCAAUAGUUGAAAAUUAGAGGUUUUGGGUUAUCCCUUAAAAUUGACGAGGACGGUGAAAUGGGUGAUUCCAUAAACCAUUCCUUAGAGUGGAGGGGAAUUUAAACCUUAAAUGUUAUUUUUCAAAUCUUCUUUGGCCAUUUUUUACUCGCCUCAUGUUACUCUUUUGAUGCUAUAGUUGUGGAUUCUCGAUUAGAACUGACGAGAAUGGUGAUGGGUGAUUCCACAAACCAUUUCUUCAAGUAAAAGGAGAAUCUAAACCUUUAAAUGUGCAUUUUCAAGUUUGUAUUUUGUCCAAAAUUGUUUUCAACUCAAGAAUCUCUAUAUUUUACCUCUAUAAAAUGGAAUAGUGGCAAUUUUCAAAACAUGAAUUCUAUUUUCAAUCUGAUUUACUGCAUGCUUUCAAGUUCUCUGCUUACUUCUGCUUGUGUACUACCUACAUACCAAUCUUUUUAGUUCGCAAAAACUUUACUACUGUCUUUUCAAGCCCGUUGUUAUUUACUGGUUUUUAGUAAUAGAUGCUAUUUUGAUUCUGUUUUUUUUUUUUUUUUUUUUGUGUGUGUGUGUGUGUGUGUGUGAGGUUGGUGGACAUAAAGUGGGGGGAAGUUGAAACAAAACUCUGGAAUUAAGGUACAUCGAAGAAUCAAAGAUUGUAUGAUUCCCAAAAUCUGGCAAGGAAAAAGGAUGAAAGGGGAUUGAAAAAGUGAUGAGCCUUGUAGGUUUGCCAUUUGUUGAUCUGAUCAGGAUGACCCUAUUGCACCCCGAUGGUGCAUGCAGAAUUUGUUAGUAUGUUUGAAUUUUGACGAUGUAGUUAUUGAAUUGAUCAAGAAGGUUGCUUCAAGCCCUUCACUUCCUGCAAAUCUACUCACCAGCCUCCAUGAUUCUUGAUGCUUCUUCGAGCUGUUCAUGUUCAAAUAAGAACAUUCAAUUGUCUUAUGCAACUUUGUUACCCACUUCUCCUUGCAGAUGGUUAGAUACAAGAAUGGCAGGAAAAAUUCAAUCCUUGGUGAAACCAACAAGGGAAAUAGUAAGACAGACAUUAGUCCGAUAUUCAUAGCAUGAUAUUGUGUCAAAACUAGGUUCUAAAUAGCUAGGUGUUUUUUGUUUGCUCCCUCUGCCAUAUCUGAAGGUUGGUGAGUAUCAUGCAGCACCUUUGCUGGGAAGUCCAAUUUCAGCUCACAACAAUUGGGGAAGGCCCCCAAUCUAUUCUGAUCAUUGAAAGCCUUUGGGAGGUGAUGGACCAAACUUAUUACGCUGUCCCCUAUCUUUCUUGAAAAUCGACGAAUCAUACAAGUGUUGUCUACCACUCUCACUUAAAGAAGCAUGAGAAUGCAACUACAGUGCUGAUCUUUCCUUGAAAAAACAGAUUAGAAAGUAAGAAAAUCAUUAUGUGAUCUACACUACAACUUAUUUAAUAUUUGUUUCUUUGCGGGUUUUCUCUCCUUGUGGCUGUGGGAGGAAAGGCUGAGGUAGAUGCAUGUUUCCGGUGAUGGUGAGGAGCAAAGAAAAUAGUGCUGAAAUGGGAUUGAAAACAAAGAAGAAACCCGUGACAGAGCCAGGAAGCGGGGGAGGGCAAGGAAGAAUGUUGCCAUUGUUGCCCUCAAGUCCAACAUUGAUAGUGACUGGAUUAUGUCUUUCAAGCCUGGAUGCUGGCUUCCUUACACGAUAUGCUCAAGGCAGCCAUCUGAAACUGCCGUCAUCCUAACCCCAGGAGAUGUGUGAAAUUUUGUUGUAAACAGCUGCUCCAGUUGGUCUGAGUUUGACGCAGCAUGGUCGAAACUACACUGGCUAGCUAAUUAGACCAUUCUCUAUCAUUUAAAUCAUCGGGCUUGAACAUGCUGUGAAAAACAGGGGAGCUGGAAGAGAGGAUUGCUCUGUGGGCUUGCAGCUGCCCAUCAGCAGUAUUGAUGGUAACAUCUGUAUGAAUGGUUUUGUCGAGCAUUCGAGAGAGGCAUCUCAGGCUGGUUUGUGCUGCUCGAUGCUGCAUUGUGCCAUCGCCAUUGCCGGGCCAUAUUGAACUUCUCUCUCCCCCCUGAGAUGAGAUUCAGAUGAAGGAUCUAAUGGGCAAGAGAAGUCAUCUUUCGUUCGUAGGAGUCUCUCUUGAACUGCAGCCAACGUAUAUAUGGAUAUAUAUAGCAACAAUGCGAUGGGGGUGGUGAUAUCCUUGCAAUAAAGAUACAAGGAAUAUAUGGAUGCACAACUGCACAUUUCAUAGGAAUGCAUGUGACUUUAAGGAGUUUCAACCUAUAUUCAAGGCCUAGUAAUGGUAUCACAAACCAUUGUCUAAAUCCUCCGGUUCCAUGAAGUCAAUCUCCACUCUCUCGUUUUAAGAAGUUGAUGAUUUGUAGUCACGCAACAAGAUAUGUGACAGGCUGCUCCUAUGUGGAUGGAUGGAUGUCUUCUCUCCCGUAAGAAGACAUGUCAGCACAUCUAUGUAUCCCUAGUUUUAUGCAUGGGAAUGGACAAGCUUGUUGGUACAUUCCAAGACAAACAUCAGGUUAUUAGCAAUACCAACGGUAAAGAUUGAAAUUUAUUUAUUCUUUUUUUUGUGAGCUUCUUUCAGGGCAUCAUAUGUUUUUUAAAUAUCAUUCAUCUAUGCACGCUUAUAUUUUUCUAAAGUGUGCAAUUGAGAUUCAAAUUUCAGCCUCUGGCGGAUGAUGCUGAUGUAGAAAUGUCCUCUUGGGUAGACCACGAUCUAGCCAGCGCACUACAAUGCGGGAAUACCUGAUUUGGAAUAAUAUAUCAUUGACAAAUCUAAAUCUCCGGGCCUCCUACUGAAGAUAAGUUUAUAAAUAUAUUCAUAUUUUAUAAUAUUUCUAUACAUAUUUGGUUGAUUUGUGCCUUUUCUUUUCCUGUCGAGGGUAGGAUAUUUGAAAUCUUACAUAUUUUGUUUGAAUUAUAUGCUAAUUAUGUGUUUGGUGCAGGUAAACCUGAAAGACUAUAUGUAUAGGUAAAUCAGCUUACUGAUACUAUCUUGCAUUUUAUUUUUUUUUUUGUGUUUUUUUAUUUAUUAUUUUUUUUAUACCGUGUUUGUAUUGUUAUGUUGCACUAUUUAUACUUGUAUAUUGUGUUUAUAUAUGAUAUGGUGUGCUUAUGGUGUCUUAUUGGGUUGUGUUGUUUGUAUUGUUAUGAUGCAUUGUUUGUACUUGUGUGAUGUGUUUACGUAUGAUUUGGUGCUCUUGUAGUAUCUUUUUUGUGUUGUUUUUAUUGUUCAAUUGUGUAUGUUUUGUGUGCUUGUACUGUUUUUUUGUGUUGUAUUGUUUGUAUUGUCAUAUUGCGUUGUUUGUUCUUGUGUGUUGUGUUUAUGUAUAAUAUGGUGUUCUUGUGGUGUCUUUCUAGACUGUGUUGUUUUACUUGUAUGUUGUGUUUAUGUAUGGUAUGUACACUUUUUUUUUUGGUGGUUAUUGCUUGUGUUGCUGUUUGUAUUGUAUUAUUGUAUAUUUUGUGUAAUCUUGUGGUGUUUUUUUUGUACUAUACUGUUUGUAUUUCUAUGUUGUAUUGUUUGUGCUUGUGUGUUGUGUGGUAUAAUGCUUUUGGAGCCUUUUUUUUGUGUUGUUUGUGUUGUAUUCUUUGUCAGUUUGUUGUUUAUUUUGUGUGUGCUUGUGAUGUCUCUUUGUAUUUAUUGUUUGUUGUAUUGCAUUGUUACAAUGCAUUGUUUGUACUUGUGUGUUGGAUUUAGGUAUGGUGCACGUGUGACUUUUUGUGUGAUUAGUUUUAUUUGUAUUUUAUUUUAAAGUUUCUUUUUAUUUUUUAUAUUUUAAAUCUAUUUCGAUGUAUUUGUAUGAGUGUAAAAUCUCUGAGAGGACUGGGGAGUCAAUGGAAAUAGUUGGAUUUGGAUUUCAAACUCAAGAAGGUAAGUCAUCUACAUACAUUAAUAUUUAUUUUAAUUCUCUUUCAAUGUAUUUGUAGAGCCUUCACAUAAAAUCUGGUUCGAUUUGGAUUUCAAACAAAAAAAAUGUAAGGGUGUAUAUAUUUUGGUUGAAUUUGAAAAAAAAAAAAAAAUUGAUUUAAGUUUAGCAUUAAAAUAUUUUUUGAUGUAACUUUUUGGGCAAGAAAAAAGUGAUAAGAAAUCUUCAAUAAUGAUAGGUGAUACACGAUAAGUUAAUUGAUGAUGGAAGGUUUAAAAGCUAUGUUUCUUUGUUUUUCCUCUUAAUUUUUAUUUUCUUCUUUGUUAUUGAAUUUCAUUUGUACUUUCUUGCAUAUACAUACAUUUUGUUUAUGUUUCUUGCUUUACAAUUCAAAUUUGAGUCAACCGGUGUGAUUUUCUUUAGCGGAUGAAUAUCCAAAUUCCGGAUACAUACAACUUGUUUAAAAGAAGAAUGGUCUCAAGCUAUACUCAAUGAUAAAUAACCACACCAAAAACCAAACAGUAAGCAUCCCAACCAAAAAAAAAUAAAAUAUUAUAAUAAAAAAAAAAAAAAAUAAUAAUAAUAAUAAUAAUAAAUCAAACAGCAAGCAUUUACUUAUACAAAGGGUAAAGUACAAAUAUUCUAAAGUAACUGGUCAUAAGUCAUCAGUGAAGGUAGGCAAGAAAGAAUUCAUUAACAAUACAAAUCACAACUUAACAAAGAGGCUUCGCAACAUAGCAUAUAUAUUUCACAAUUUAGGGAAUCCAACAGCUCGUAACAUUCGUUUGUUUCUCGGUUCCAUUGGACACAAAGAGGAAACAAACAAACAAAAAUAAAAUUACCAGAAUAGAACCCACAACAGCAGUUUAGGAAACUAAAAAUGCUGCUUCAUUUUUCAAUGCCCUGUUGCAAAUACUGGAUCAGAUCAUAACCGGCAGUCGUCCACUUGUUAUAGGCAUCUGUGCACACACGUAUCAUGUAAUUGGCCGCUUCGCGCUCGCUCAUUUCUGGAUGAAAUCUUUUACGUAGAUUUCCAAUUGGGUCACCUCUACUGAAGCACGGCAAUCCGCUGUCCAGCAUUAGCGCAACUGUACUUAUGAUCCCAUCCAUGUAG